GUCGAACGACUCUGGUAUUGAUUGGUGCUUGCAUCAUGAUUUACAUUUGAGUGAGUGGCGAACUGGUGAGUAACACGUGGGAAACCUGCCCAGAAGCGGGGGAUAACACCUGGAAACAGAUGCUAAUACCGCAUAACAACUUGGACCGCAUGGUCCGAGCUUGAAAGAUGGCUUCGGCUAUCACUUUUGGAUGGUCCCGCGGCGUAUUAGCUAGAUGGUGGGGUAACGGCUCACCAUGGCAAUGAUACGUAGCCGACCUGAGAGGGUAAUCGGCCACAUUGGGACUGAGACACGGCCCAAACUCCUACGGGAGGCAGCAGUAGGGAAUCUUCCACAAUGGACGAAAGUCUGAUGGAGCAACGCCGCGUGAGUGAAGAAGGGUUUCGGCUCGUAAAACUCUGUUGUUAAAGAAGAACAUAUCUGAGAGUAACUGUUCAGGUAUUGACGGUAUUUAACCAGAAAGCCACGGCUAACUACGUGCCAGCAGCCGCGGUAAUACGUAGGUGGCAAGCGUUGUCCGGAUUUAUUGGGCGUAAAGCGAGCGCAGGCGGUUUUUUAAGUCUGAUGUGAAAGCCUUCGGCUCAACCGAAGAAGUGCAUCGGAAACUGGGAAACUUGAGUGCAGAAGAGGACAGUGGAACUCCAUGUGUAGCGGUGAAAUGCGUAGAUAUAUGGAAGAACACCAGUGGCGAAGGCGGCUGUCUGGUCUGUAACUGACGCUGAGGCUCGAAAGUAUGGGUAGCAAACAGGAUUAGAUACCCUGGUAGUCCAUACCGUAAACGAUGAAUGCUAAGUGUUGGAGGGUUUCCGCCCUUCAGUGCUGCAGCUAACGCAUUAAGCAUUCCGCCUGGGGAGUACGGCCGCAAGGCUGAAACUCAAAGGAAUUGACGGGGGCCCGCACAAGCGGUGGAGCAUGUGGUUUAAUUCGAAGCUACGCGAAGAACCUUACCAGGUCUUGACAUACUAUGCAAAUCUAAGAGAUUAGACGUUCCCUUCGGGGACAUGGAUACAGGUGGUGCAUGGUUGUCGUCAGCUCGUGUCGUGAGAUGUUGGGUUAAGUCCCGCAACGAGCGCAACCCUUAUUAUCAGUUGCCAGCAUUAAGUUGGGCACUCUGGUGAGACUGCCGGUGACAAACCGGAGGAAGGUGGGGAUGACGUCAAAUCAUCAUGCCCCUUAUGACCUGGGCUACACACGUGCUACAAUGGAUGGUACAACGAGUUGCGAACUCGCGAGAGUAAGCUAAUCUCUUAAAGCCAUUCUCAGUUCGGAUUGUAGGCUGCAACUCGCCUACAUGAAGUCGGAAUCGCUAGUAAUCGCGGAUCAGCAUGCCGCGGUGAAUACGUUCCCGGGCCUUGUACACACCGCCCGUCACACCAUGAGAGUUUGUAACACCCAAAGUCGGUGG
rnacentral:rRNA from 1 species